rnacentral:siRNA from 1 species
GAGCGGGUCGCCGCGUGCCGGCC